GUAGGGAAUAUUGGGCAAUGGAAGCAAUUCUGACCCAGCCAUGCCGCGUGAAGGAAUACAGCCCUAUGGGUUUUAAACUUCUUUUAUUAUAGAGUAAACGGAGGUACGUGUACCUCCCUGCAAGUAUAUGAUGAAUAAGGAUCGGCUAACUCCGUGCCAGCAGCCGCGGUAAUACGGAGGAUCCAAGCGUUAUCCGGAUUUAUUGGGUUUAAAGGGUGCGCAGGCGGAUCAAUAAGUCAGGGGUGAAAAAUUUCAGCUUAACUGGAAUCGUGCCUUUGAUACUGUUGGACUAGAGUAUAAUUGACGUGACUGGAAUGUGAUGUGUAGCGGUGAAAUGCUUAGAUAUGUCACAGAACGCCAAUCGUGAAGACAGGUCACGAAAUUAUUACUGACGCUCAUGCACGAAAGCGUGGGGAUCAAACAGGAUUAGAAACCCGAGUAGUCC
rnacentral:rRNA from 1 species